rnacentral:sRNA from 1 species
GAUGCUUCGGGAGAUGGCGAGCUGGACCUCAGUGGCAUUGAUGACCUGGAGAUUGAUAGGUACAUCCUGAAUGAGUCGGAAGCUCGCGUGAAGGCCGAGCUGUGGAUGAGGGAGAACGCCGAGUACCUGCGGGAACAGAGGGAAAAAGAAGCAAGAAUAGCCAAAGAGAAGGAGCUCGGCAUCUACAAGGAGCACAAGCCCAAGAAGUCUUGCAAGCGACGGGAGCCAAUUCAGGCCAGUACUGCCAGGGAGGCCAUCGAGAAGAUGCUGGAGCAGAAGAAGAUCUCCAGCAAAAUCAACUACAGCGUGCUCCGGGGCCUCAGCAGCGCCGGCGGGGGCAGCCCACACAGGGAGGAUGCGCAGCCCAAGCAUAGCGCCAGUGCCAGGAAGCUGUCACGAAGGAGGACGCCGGCCAGCAGAAGUGGGGCUGACCCUGUGACCAGUGUGGGGAAAAGGAGGGGCUGGGACAAUCAGUGGGGUCGGGAAGAAGAGUCCCCA